AGCGUACACGGUGGAUGCCCUGGCAGUCAGAGGCGAUGAAGGACGUGCUAAUCUGCGAUAAGCGUCGGUAAGGUGAUAUGAACCGUUAUAACCGGCGAUUUCCGAAUGGGGAAACCCAGUGUGUUUCGACACACUAUCAUUAACUGAAUCCAUAGGUUAAUGAGGCGAACCGGGGGAACUGAAACAUCUAAGUACCCCGAGGAAAAGAAAUCAACCGAGAUUCCCCCAGUAGCGGCGAGCGAACGGGGAGCAGCCCAGAGCCUGAAUCAGUGUGUGUGUUAGUGGAAGCGUCUGGAAAGGCGCGCGAUACAGGGUGACAGCCCCGUACACAAAAAUGCACAUGCUGUGAGCUCGAUGAGUAGGGCGGGACACGUGGUAUCCUGUCUGAAUAUGGGGGGACCAUCCUCCAAGGCUAAAUACUCCUGACUGACCGAUAGUGAACCAGUACCGUGAGGGAAAGGCGAAAAGAACCCCGGCGAGGGGAGUGAAAAAGAACCUGAAACCGUGUACGUACAAGCAGUGGGAGCACGCUUAGGCGUGUGACUGCGUACCUUUUGUAUAAUGGGUCAGCGACUUAUAUUCUGUAGCAAGGUUAACCGAAUAGGGGAGCCGAAGGGAAACCGAGUCUUAACUGGGCGUUAAGUUGCAGGGUAUAGACCCGAAACCCGGUGAUCUAGCCAUGGGCAGGUUGAAGGUUGGGUAACACUAACUGGAGGACCGAACCGACUAAUGUUGAAAAAUUAGCGGAUGACUUGUGGCUGGGGGUGAAAGGCCAAUCAAACCGGGAGAUAGCUGGUUCUCCCCGAAAGCUAUUUAGGUAGCGCCUCGUGAAUUCAUCUCCGGGGGUAGAGCACUGUUUCGGCAAGGGGGUCAUCCCGACUUACCAACCCGAUGCAAACUGCGAAUACCGGAGAAUGUUAUCACGGGAGACACACGGCGGGUGCUAACGUCCGUCGUGAAGAGGGAAACAACCCAGACCGCCAGCUAAGGUCCCAAAGUCAUGGUUAAGUGGGAAACGAUGUGGGAAGGCCCAGACAGCCAGGAUGUUGGCUUAGAAGCAGCCAUCAUUUAAAGAAAGCGUAAUAGCUCACUGGUCGAGUCGGCCUGCGCGGAAGAUGUAACGGGGCUAAACCAUGCACCGAAGCUGCGGCAGCGACACUAUGUGUUGUUGGGUAGGGGAGCGUUCUGUAAGCCUGUGAAGGUGUGCUGUGAGGCAUGCUGGAGGUAUCAGAAGUGCGAAUGCUGACAUAAGUAACGAUAAAGCGGGUGAAAAGCCCGCUCGCCGGAAGACCAAGGGUUCCUGUCCAACGUUAAUCGGGGCAGGGUGAGUCGACCCCUAAGGCGAGGCCGAAAGGCGUAGUCGAUGGGAAACAGGUUAAUAUUCCUGUACUUGGUGUUACUGCGAAGGGGGGACGGAGAAGGCUAUGUUGGCCGGGCGACGGUUGUCCCGGUUUAAGCGUGUAGGCUGGUUUUCCAGGCAAAUCCGGAAAAUCAAGGCUGAGGCGUGAUGACGAGGCACUACGGUGCUGAAGCAACAAAUGCCCUGCUUCCAGGAAAAGCCUCUAAGCAUCAGGUAACAUCAAAUCGUACCCCAAACCGACACAGGUGGUCAGGUAGAGAAUACCAAGGCGCUUGAGAGAACUCGGGUGAAGGAACUAGGCAAAAUGGUGCCGUAACUUCGGGAGAAGGCACGCUGAUAUGUAGGUGAAGUCCCUCGCGGAUGGAGCUGAAAUCAGUCGAAGAUACCAGCUGGCUGCAACUGUUUAUUAAAAACACAGCACUGUGCAAACACGAAAGUGGACGUAUACGGUGUGACGCCUGCCCGGUGCCGGAAGGUUAAUUGAUGGGGUUAGCGCAAGCGAAGCUCUUGAUCGAAGCCCCGGUAAACGGCGGCCGUAACUAUAACGGUCCUAAGGUAGCGAAAUUCCUUGUCGGGUAAGUUCCGACCUGCACGAAUGGCGUAAUGAUGGCCAGGCUGUCUCCACCCGAGACUCAGUGAAAUUGAACUCGCUGUGAAGAUGCAGUGUACCCGCGGCAAGACGGAAAGACCCCGUGAACCUUUACUAUAGCUUGACACUGAACAUUGAGCCUUGAUGUGUAGGAUAGGUGGGAGGCUUUGAAGUGUGGACGCCAGUCUGCAUGGAGCCGACCUUGAAAUACCACCCUUUAAUGUUUGAUGUUCUAACGUUGACCCGUAAUCCGGGUUGCGGACAGUGUCUGGUGGGUAGUUUGACUGGGGCGGUCUCCUCCUAAAGAGUAACGGAGGAGCACGAAGGUUGGCUAAUCCUGGUCGGACAUCAGGAGGUUAGUGCAAUGGCAUAAGCCAGCUUGACUGCGAGCGUGACGGCGCGAGCAGGUGCGAAAGCAGGUCAUAGUGAUCCGGUGGUUCUGAAUGGAAGGGCCAUCGCUCAACGGAUAAAAGGUACUCCGGGGAUAACAGGCUGAUACCGCCCAAGAGUUCAUAUCGACGGCGGUGUUUGGCACCUCGAUGUCGGCUCAUCACAUCCUGGGGCUGAAGUAGGUCCCAAGGGUAUGGCUGUUCGCCAUUUAAAGUGGUACGCGAGCUGGGUUUAGAACGUCGUGAGACAGUUCGGUCCCUAUCUGCCGUGGGCGCUGGAGAACUGAGGGGGGCUGCUCCUAGUACGAGAGGACCGGAGUGGACGCAUCACUGGUGUUCGGGUUGUCAUGCCAAUGGCACUGCCCGGUAGCUAAAUGCGGAAGAGAUAAGUGCUGAAAGCAUCUAAGCACGAAACUUGCCCCGAGAUGAGUUCUCCCUGACUCCUUGA
rnacentral:rRNA from 2 species